rnacentral:lncRNA from 1 species
UAAAAGUGAUAAAAUAUCGUUUUCCACCUCUUGUUAAAGUUUCAUUUAAUUCACAAUAUCUGAAUGGAUUAAAUCUAACACUUACGAAUUCCUUUAACACUUAUUAGGAAAUGGCUUCUUGGUAAACUUUUAUUGAUUACAAAUUUCACAUUUUUCCAUAAACUCAUCAUUACUAAGAUUGAUAUAACCAUUCUUUUGCAAAUAUUGUAAAGUUUUAAAAUUAAAAUAUGCUAAAC